UAGGGGCAUAAUGGCCUUUUUUUUGUUUUGUUGCUUGUAUUUUUUGUUGUUUUAAAUGAUUGUUGAAAGGUUUUUAAGGUUGGUUUUUCAUAAUUUAGGAUUAGAGAAGAUUUUGAGCCUAGAAUUGGGUUUAUGGUGUUAUAUUAGUAUUGGCAUCAAUUUGAUAAAGGUGCCACAUGACUGAGCUCUCUCUCCUUCCUCUCUUUCUCUUCUUAUGUUCUAUCUUGUAUUUUGAGGAUGUACUAGCUCAAAGCCUCUCCUUGGGCCUUUAGCCACUAAGGCCAAACUCCAAACCCUAAAUCCUCAAAAACAUCCUCUGCUUCUAAAUUUGACAUAAACAAACCCUCAAUUGUCUCUAUACAACCAUAAAAACAAUGAACAAAAUAAAAAUAAAAAAAAUGGCAUAUUGGUGAAUUAUCAAAACACCAAGUCGUCCCAAGUGUCAAAACAACUAUUAUCGACCUACCUGGUCAUCAUCCUUGUUCAUCCCCUCUGGUACCAACCAAGAUAGCCCAAUUUUUGAUGUUCCAAGGUUCUAGACCUAUCCUAGGACCUAGAAUCUCACUGAUCUAAUUUGAGAUGGCCAAGACGGAUCAAUGCGGUCGGAAGCUUUAAUCCUUUCGAAGAAAAUGUUGCAAGGAUUAAAGUUGAGUCUUAGUAAUAUAGGAGCAAAAACUAAAACAAUAAAGUCCAUAUCAUGAUAAACAUCUAAGUUUAGUAUCUUAAGUUGAGUGGAAUAGAUCUUAAGCUUUUCAAACUAAUAAAUUUUCAAGUAAAAUUCUUAGAGAAGAGGGCAUCAAGUAUGAGCUUUUUUAUCAACAAAGCGUCCUUCAUAUUAGAGAGAACAAUGUGCAAUAUCUUAGUUAUGGGGAAAUAUAACAAACCAAGCAUUCUAAGAGACUAAUUAACAGAUUCAAGCAUCAAUACCUACAGUGACAAACAAUCA
rnacentral:lncRNA from 1 species